UGCCAGACUCCUACGGGAGGCAGCAGUGGGGAAUAUUGCACAAUGGGGGAAACCCUGAUGCAGCGACGCCGCGUGAGUGAAGAAGUAUUUCGGUAUGUAAAGCUCUAUCAGCAGGAAAGAAGAUGACGGUACCUGACUAAGAAGCCCCGGCUAACUACGUGCCAGCAGCCGCGGUAAUACGUAGGGGGCAAGCGUUAUCCGGAUUUACUGGGUGUAAAGGGAGCGUAGACGGUGAAGCAAGUCUGAAGUGAAAGGCGGGGGCUCAACCCCCGGACUGCUUUGGAAACUGUUUGACUGGAGUGCAGGAGAGGUAAGUGGAAUUCCUAGUGUAGCGGUGAAAUGCGUAGAUAUUAGGAGGAACACCAGUGGCGAAGGCGGCCUGCUGGACGAUGACUGACGUUGAGGCUCGAAAGCGUGGGGAGCAAACAGGAUUAGAUACCCUUGUAC
rnacentral:rRNA from 1 species